UGCCACCACGCCCAGCUAAAUUUUGUAUUUUUAGUAGAGACGAGGUUUCACCAUAUUGGCCAGGCUGGUCUUGAACUCCUGACCUUAUGAUCCACCCACCUCAGCUUCCUAAGGUGCUGGGAUUACAGGCAUGAGCCACAGUACCUCGUCAGGUUUUUCUUUUUUACAAAAUGGCUGGACUGCAAAUUUUCUAAACUUUUAUGCUCUGCCUGUUUUUUAAAUAUAAGUUUUAGUUUCAUAGCAUCCCUUUGCUCACACUAUGACAAUACACUGUUAGAAGCAGCCAGGCCACAUCUUGAACACUUUGCUGCUUAGCAAUUUCUUCCACAAGAUACCCUAAAUCAUCAGUCUCCAAUUCAAAGUUCCACAGAUCCCUAGAGCAGGGGCACAAUGCCACCAGUCUCUGUGCUAACAUAACAAGAGUGACCCUUACUCUAGUUCCCAAUAAGUUCCUCAUCUCCAUCUGAGACCACCUCAGCCUGGACUUCAUAGUCCAUGUCACUAUCAGCAUUGUGGUCACAAAAAUUUAACCAGUCUCUGGAAAGUUCCAAACUUCUCCUCAUAUUCCUGUCUUUUUCUGACCCCCUCCAGACUGUUCCAACCUCUGCUCAUUACCCGGUAUCAAAGUCACCUCCACUUUUCAAGUAUCUUUAUAGCAAUGCCCCACUCCCAGUAGCAAUUUUCUGUAUUAGCCUUCUUGCAUUGCUAUAAAGAACUAUCUGAAACUGGGUAAUUUAUAAAGCAAAGAGGUUUAAUUGACUCAUAUAGUUCUGCAGGCUGUAGAGGAAACAUGGCUGGGGAGGCCUCAGGAACUUACAAUCAUGGCAGAAGGAGAAGGGAAAGCAGACACAUCUUUUAUGGCCUGAGAAGGAAGAAGAGAAAGAAGGGUAUGAAAUAAUUUCCUAUUGAAGUCAUCUUAACAUGGAACCAGAAUUAAAUCCUAACAACAAUCAUGUGAGCCUGGGGAGGAUCCUUCCCCACGUGAGCCUUCAGGGGAGACUUCAGCCUUGGCCAUCUUCUCCAUCUAGAUUCCUGACCAAGAGAAACUGACCAUAUAUUCUGUUGCUCUUCACAUCUUGGAAUUAUAUUGUCCAUUUCCAGGGUCAAAGACCACAGAAUAAAUGUCAUCCUGGCAGCAG
rnacentral:lncRNA from 10 species